rnacentral:lncRNA from 1 species
UCAGCAACUCGUUUUCUCAAUAUGCAGAUACUUAGAGUCAAUUUGUGAGUUUUGUACAAGAUGGAACACCACAAAUCCUAAACAUUUAGACUCCUAUUUAUACUAAUUCGAAAUAAUUGUAACAAACGGUCUCUUCUCCAAAAAAUGAUACGUUUUCGUCUGCAUGCACUUCAUUAUCCAUAGCUUUCCACACGUGUUCCUAAAGAAUCAGAUAAGGCCAAAAAGCAGUUAUGAGCCUUAUUUGAAUUCUCGCUCCAUCGAACACAACUCCAAUCGAAAUACCUCUGGUCGAAUUACAGUUUGAACUAAAAAAAUAUUUCUAAGUCCCAAACGAGCAUUUCCCUCUACGCAAGGGGUUCCUUCUACUAAAGUUCCUCUUGUCGAAAGAAUUAUUUUCAAGUAUUCUUUUCAGAAUAUUUCCCUCGGCCUUUCUAGUUCUUAUCAAAUAUUUCCUUAGCGUUGAAAUUCCCGCUAACAGAUAUCCGAUAGGGCUCAAGUGAAGAUACCCCAUAGUGCUCAAUCAAAGAUAUUGGUAGGGUAACAAUGAUACCCAGUAGGGCUCAAGCGAAGAUAUCUCGUAGGAUUCAAGUGAAGAUACCCCUUAGGAUGGAAAUGAUACCCUAUAAGCCGAAAAUGAUACCUCGUACGAUCAAUCAAAGAUAUAUCGUAGGGUGGCAAUGAUAUCAUGUAGGACUCAAACAAAUAUACCUCAUAGGCGCAACAAGAUAUCCUUGAAAUGAAAGAAUUUAGUAUUCCUUUGAUUUGGGCACUAAUGCAUCUUUAUGAUCAGAAUUUGUGUUGACACCAUUACUAUCCACAUCUAGUGGGUUUGAACCACUAAUCUGAAGAACUCAAAUAUUUUCUUUGAAGGAAUGUUGUAUACUGAUAUAUUUUUUAAUGGACUCGUAUCUGCUCAUUGAAGCUUUAAUUUAGACAUUAAUGCAUCAUCAAAACCUUUAGCGCUGGUUCAUUAUUGAAACAUAAUAGAAAAUUUUUCACUAACCUGUUUUCAUUGUCGGAAGAAGCUAUGACUUGAUAAUUUUUUUUUGAAAGGCCAAAAGGAAAGAAAAAGCAAACAACAAGGCAGCAAACAACAACCUGCUAUAGUAAAUUAUGAAGAUUCUGG